UAUACGAUGAAGAGUUUGAUCCUGGCUCAGGAUGAACGCUAGCGGCAGGCCUAACACAUGCAAGUCGAGGGGUAGAAGUUACUUGUAACUUUGAGACCGGCGCACGGGUGCGUAACGCGUAUGCAACCUACCUUUUACAGGGGAAUAGCCCAGAGAAAUUUG
rnacentral:rRNA from 1 species